AUAAAAGUCAGAUGAAGAUAGUCAAGGCCUAAAUCAAAGAAGAAUUUGCAUUCAGAGGUGCCUUGAUGGGACCCUCUAUCAUGCCCUUGUGGAGAUGUCUUACAUGACCGUGCCUCAGACAGCAGGGUCCAGAGCUUCCUGGAAUUUCUGAAGCAUCGUUGGGAGCUCAAGAUUUCGCCGUCUCCUAAACCACUUUUCCACCAAAUGAACUGUCCAGUUACACUUUUUGGCCAGGCCUUGAAUCUCAGACUGCAAAAGGAGAGAAGUGUGUCAGUGACAAAAAGUAACAUCUACAUCAGGUACCAGCUCCGCCGACUUUGUAUUUUAAAGAACAACGUCCCGAAAUAGGCAGCAUUUACGGCUAUGAAUGAGAGAUUUGAGCGAGGAGGAUUUGGUACAGUGCCAUAACGUGUAGAUUUGCUAUAUCUCAAUCCUACACAACUGAUCUGAAGACUCAGGGAGAGGAAGGAGGAGCUGGACCAGUGUGAGAAUCGGACCAUCAGCAUCACAAAAGCAUAUGGUAUCGUGGCAUAUAAUUGAUAUGGCUUUGGAAAGACGAUGCCAUCAUGGUCUUCAAGAUCUGCCCAUGUGCAAUUGGCAGGCAUCCAUAAGUUCUCCCACCAGAACCAGCUGUUGAGUGUCUUUAAUACAUAUGCCAUGCUAAGCAGGUA